UGAGGAAUAUUGGUCAAUGGGCGAGAGCCUGAACCAGCCAAGUAGCGUGCAGGAUGACGGCCCUAUGGGUUGUAAACUGCUUUUAUAUGGGAAUAAAGUGAGGGACGUGUCCCUUAUUGCAUGUACCAUAUGAAUAAGGACCGGCUAAUUCCGUGCCAGCAGCCGCGGUAAUACGGAAGGUCCAGGCGUUAUCCGGAUGUAUUGGGUUUAAAGGGAGCGUAGGCUGUUUGUUAAGCGUGUUGUGAAAUGUAAGAGCUCAACUUUUAGAUUGCAGCGCGAACUGGCAGACUUGAGUGCGCACAACGUAGGCGGAAUUCAUGGUGUAGCGAUGAAAUGCUUAGAUAUCAUGAAGAACUCCGAUUGCGAAGGCAGCUUACGGGAGCGCAACUGACGCUGAAGCUCGAAGGUGCGGGUAUCGAACAGG
rnacentral:rRNA from 1 species